AGGUAGUAGUAAAUUUUGACAAAACCUUUAAAUUAUGGCGGCAUUUUAUCUAAUUAGAGGAAUCUGUUUAUUAAUCGAUAGUCCGCGAUAAAUCUUACUUUUUUAAAAAUUUUAUAUACCUCCGUUUUAAGAAUUUAUUCAAAAAUUUUAUUCUAAAAAAUAUUUAAAAAAAUAGGUAAAGGUGUAGACCACAAAAAAGUUAUAAUGGAUUACAUUAAAUAUUAUUUAAGAAUAAAAAUUAAAAAUACUUUGAAAAAGGAUUUAAAAGUAAAUAUUUAAUAGUAUUUUAUUUUGAAUAAGAUAAUAAAUGUGU
rnacentral:rRNA from 1 species